AUUGAACGCUGGCGGCAGGCCUAACACAUGCAAGUAGAACGAGUGGCGGACGGGUGAGUAAUGUCUGGGAAACUGCCCGAUGGAGGGGGAUAACUACUGGAAACGGUAGCUAAUACCGCAUACCAUCGGAUGUGCCCAGAUGGGAGUAGCUUGUAGGUGAGGUACCGGCGCACCUAGGCGACGAUCCCUAGCUGGUCUGAGAGGAUGACCAGGCACUCUGGAACUGAGACACGGUCCAGACUCCUACGGUAGGCCGCCGUGGGGAAUAUUGCACAAUGGGCGACAGCCUGAUGCAGCCAUGCCGCGUGUAUGAAGAAGGACUUCGGGUUGUAAAGUACUUUCAGCGGGGAGGCGUUACCCGCAGAAGAAUCACCGGCUAACCCCGUGCCAGCCACCGCGGUAAUUC
rnacentral:rRNA from 1 species